GAGGUUCGUUGUUUAACCCAUAUUUCUCUGUUUACAGACAUUUAAAAAAAACUGAAAACAUUUUGUCUUCGCCAUCGCUUUGCAUUGCGAAAUCUGUGCCUUCUUUUCUUAUGAUGAUUUUUUUUUCUUUUCAGGAACCGCAAUAUUUCGUCGUGUUGUAACUUCGUUACUACAGAUAUUUUUUUCAAAAUUAUAGAAAACGCGGCAAUAACACCUGUACCAAAAUGUUAACUUCUGAUUCAGGAGAAACAAUAACUUUAUCCAUUUUUUUUUCAAGUGUGUGUGUCAG
rnacentral:lncRNA from 1 species